rnacentral:rRNA from 1 species
UUUUCAGUAUCACAGCGAAAGCAAUAAACACACCGCCUGGGGAGUACGACCGCAAGGUUAAAACUCAAAUGAAUUGACGGGGACCCGCACAAGUAGUGGAGCAUGUGGUUUAAUUCGAAGAUACGCGCAGAACCUUACCAACACUUGACAUGUUCGUCGCGACUCUAAGAGAUUAGAGUUUUCGGUUCGGCCGGACGAAACACAGGUGCUGCAUGGCUGUCGUCAGCUCGUGUCGUGAGAUGUUGGGUUAAGUCCCGCAACGAGCGCAACCCUCACUUUUAGUUGCCAUCAUUUAGUUGGGCACUCUGAAAGAACUGCCAGUGAUAAGCUGGAGGAAGGUGGGGAUGACGUCAAGUCCUCAUGGCCCUUACGUGUUGGGCUACACACGUGCUACAAUGGCAUUUACAAUAGGAAGCAAGACGGCGACGUCGAGCAAAUCCUAAAAAAAUGCCUCAGUUCGGAUUGUACUCUGCAACUCGAGUACAUGAAGCUGGAAUUACUAGUAAUCGCGGAUCAGCGCGCCGCGGUGAAUACGUUCCCGGGUCUUGUACACACCGCCCGUCACACCAUGGGAGUUGGUUCUACCUUAAGGCAAAGCUUAAAACCUUUGACCACGGUAUAGUCAGCGACUGGGGUGAAGUCGUAACAAGGUAGCCGUAGGGGAACCUGCGGCUGGAUUACCUCCUU